GAUGAACGCUGGCGGCGUGCCUAAUACAUGCAAGUCGAGCGAACAGACGAGGAGCUUGCUCCUCUGACGUUAGCGGCGGACGGGUGAGUAACACGUGGAUAACCUACCUAUAAGACUGGGAUAAUUUCGGGAAACCGGAGCUAAUACCGGAUAAUAUAUUGAACCGCAUGGGUCAAUAGUGAAAGUCGGUUUUUCUGUCACUUAUAGCUGGAUCCGCGCCGCAUUAGCUAGUUGGUAGGGUAACGGCUUACCAAGGCUGCGAUGCGUAGCCGACCUGAGAGGGUGGUCGGCCACACGGGAACUGAGACACGGUCGAGACUCCUACGGGAGGCAGCAGUAGGGAAUCUUCCGCAAUGGGCGAAAGCCUGACGGAGCAACGCGGCGUGAGUGAUGAAGGUCUUCGGAUCGUAAAACUCUGUUAUUAGGGUAGAACAAAUGUGUAAGUAACUAUGCACGUCUUGACGGUACCGGGUCAGAAAGCCACGGCUAACUACGUG
rnacentral:rRNA from 1 species